UUUCGAUUAAGGAGUGAUUCAGAGAGAACACAUUCACACAAUCGGUGAUACACUUGUUUAUAUCAAACUACCAUUAUUAUGGUAAAUUAAAAUUUAUGUAUGCUUAAAAAAUGUUACAGAAUGCUUUGGCCUGGCUGGCGUGUUCUUAGACUCUAUAUAUACUCUAGCUGGCCUUGGAAUUGAUCCUUCUGGCAGCUAUGAGGCAUUGUGAAUGGACACUGACUUCCUCUGGUUUCGUUGCUUUGGAGGACAUAAAAUAAGAUGUUAUCUACUUGGAAUAUCAGAUUUUGUAAAAAAAAUACCGAGGCAUUGUCCUCAAGUGAUAAAUCAAGUCGAUGAGUGCACUAAUUGGAACUGGGC
rnacentral:lncRNA from 1 species